CAUGAUGUGGUCUUUGGUGGGUUGAAAUCUUAACAAGUGGUUAAUAUAAAGAGGUAUCAAUUCUUUUUUCUGAAUGAAAAUGUUAUAUAUGAGAAUUUUGCUAAAAAAAACUUCAUUUUUUUGCAGGAAUCUGUUCUUCCAGCUGUGAUGCUUGGACAAGCAUCUUAUUGUUACCUUUUAGCCAAACCAAUUAUGUUAAGAAAGUAUGGAUUUUUUCUCAUUCUUUCUGGUGGUGAUCUGUAGAAGAAAGAAAUGUCAUCAGGUAUUGCAAUUUUUGUAAAUUCUCUAAUAGAUAAUAAUGUUUUACUUAAUAAAUAGUUUUCAUUAUCGAAAUUUUGUUUGAUAAGUAUGAAGACGAUGACAAAUUGAGCGUAGUGCUUUAUUUAUCUUUGUCAUGUCUGGUGUGUUUAAGAUGGUUUUGUUUUAUUGAAAUCUAUUUUUGUGUAUAUGAUCCAUUGCUUUCUAUAAAGUAUAAAAUCUGGCCUGAUGUUUAUUGUGUUUCUAGUUUCUCUUCCAUUGCUUUGCAUUUACUGGUCAAAAUCUUGCUUGGAUCUAGUCAUGGUUUGAAUGUGUUAUGUUUGUUUACUCCUUUUUAGUAUUAUGUUAAUAUUAGCUAGCAACAACAUUGCUUUCAUGGGUUGUUAUUAGGCUCACAUAAUCUGCCACUUUUAUGUAUUUCAAUUAUUAUCAACUAACAAAUCCUCUUUUUGUGGCUUUUUGAUAGAAGAAUAACUUAACUGGAGCAGUUGAGAGCACCUACAAAUCUGGAAGAAAGCUAAAAAUGACUGACCAUUAUAUGAUGCGGAUACCAAGGUAAGAAACCAAACCUUACUUUGUUGAUCACUUAAUAAUAUACAUGCAAAUCAUAGGCUAAGCUUUCUUCACUUCUGUUUUAUACUUUCAACAGUUUCUUCCUAUUAAGAUAUUCUACUUGACUUUAAUCAUUAUACCUUUAGUUAUAGCAUUACUUUUUCAACAAGUAACCUAUUAAGAUAAUCUAGUUUUUAUCUUUCUUUUUUUUUCUUUUAAAAAGCACAUGAAAGUUAAUUGUACUUUGAUGAUUUAACCAUCUAUAACAUUACACUUCUAAAUAUAUUGUAUUCUGAAAAUCCAGCCAACUUUAGCAUUAUACAUUCUAUUUUGAAACAGGAAACUUGUUUUUUUUUUUGCCAAUUAUAGCAUUAUACGUCCAAUUAUUUCCCAUAGGACAUUGGACUUGAUUGCAUCAUGACAAAACUCUACUUUUCACUGUAUUUUCAAUCAUGUAGAACAACUUGAAAUUUUUGAAUGACAUGGCAGAAUUAAUGGGUAUGAUAAAUUUAUGUAUUUUAGUUUGUAUGUUGUAAUUUAAUGCUAUUUAGAUGUUAAGGUAUAAAAAACUAUCAUUAAAACAUUCUAGUUUCAUAAUCAAACCUAUUAACACAUUGUAAUUUUAUUAUUUUUCCCAUUAAGUCUCUGGACUUUCAAAAUUUAUUGCAUUUCCUUUCAAAAAUUCCUUUCUUCACAAAAGUAUUCUGUUAACCACAAUGUCCCUUACAUUACUCUGAGAUGAAUUGCUAUGCUUAAUUCCAAUUCCCCUGAGAAUCAAAGUGUUAAAACACUUGAUGCUUUUUAUGUUCACAUUUAGGUUUUCUGUUAAUAUUUAAAGGUAUGCUUUUAGUUCCAUCAAACCCAAAUAAGGGUGCUGUGUUGGGUGAUUAUGCCUUCAUGGAAAUGAUAAGUUGCAAAAAUCAUCUAUAUUUGGUGACCAAAAAUAGCAGGGACUGAAAAUGAUACCAGAACCUUAGAUAAGGACUCAAAUUUUAUAGAUUUGCUAUUUUACUCUUGUUUCCAAGUUUGUGUGCUUAUAUUAUAUUCUUCUGAGUAAUCCAUGUUUGAUUUCAUGUGUAAACACCCUUGGUCACUAUCUUUCAAGAUCACCAUUGGCUGCACACAUAGUAGCGAC
rnacentral:lncRNA from 1 species